ACGGAGGGUGCAAACGUUGUUCGGAAUCACUGGGCAUAAAGCGCACGUAGGCGGCGCGCUAAGUCAGGCGUGAAAGCCCUCGGCUCAACCGAGGAACUGCUUCUGAUACUGGCGUGCUUGAGGACGGUUGGGGUGAGUGGAACUCCUGGUGGAGCGGUGAAAUGCGUAGAUAUCAGGAGGAACACCGGUGGCGAAAGCGGCUCACUGGACCGUAUCUGACGCUGAGGUGCGAAAGCUAGGGGAGCGAACGGG
rnacentral:rRNA from 1 species